GGAAGGGUAGCGAAGAGGCUAAACGCGGCGGACUGUAAAUCCGCUCCUUCGGGUUCGGGGGUUCGAAUCCCUCCCCUUCCACCA
rnacentral:tRNA from 1 species